AACGAACGCUGGCGGCAUGCCUAACACAUGCAAGUCGAACGAAACCUUCGGGUCUAGGUGCGCACGGGGGCUUAACGCGUGGGAACUUGCCCUUAGGUUCGGAAUAACUCCCCGAAAGGGGUGCUAAUACCGGAUAAUGUCUUCGGACCAAAGAUUUAUCGCCUUUGGAUGGGCCCGCGUUGGAUUAGCUAGUUGGUAGUGUAAAAGCCUACCAAGGCGACGAUCCAUAGCUGGUCUGUGAGGAUGAUCAGCCACACUGGGACUGAGACCCGGCCCAGAAGCCUACGGGAGGCAGGAGUGGGGAAUAUUGGACGAUGGGCGAAAGCCUGAUCCAGCAAUGCCGCGUGAGUGAUGAAGGCCUUAGGGUUGUAAAGCUCUUUUACCCGGGAUGAUAAUGACAGUACCGGGAGAAUAAGCUCCGGCUAACUCCGUG
rnacentral:rRNA from 1 species